AUGUAAAUCACCCAGGGACCUUGUUGAACUGCUGAUUCUAACUCAGCGUGGCUGGAGCUGGGACUGAGAUUCUGCAUUUCUAACAAGUUUCUGGGCAAUUCAGAG
rnacentral:miRNA from 1 species